CGAAACCGAUAGCGAACAAGUACCGUGAGGGAAAGUUGAAAAGUACUCUGAAUAGAGAGUUAAAUAGUACGUGAAACCGCUUAGGGGUUAAGCCCGAUGAACCCGAAUAUCUGAUGUGAGAAAUUCAAUACUGUUCAUACAACGGAUAGUAUGCACUUUUCUCAUAGUAAGACAUUGUAAUCCAUUGAUGUUAUAUCUCUUUCAUUUAUGGGAGAGGUGAUUUAACAUACGGACAAGAUGUAUAUGUUUAUUCUAUCAGUGAUGUGUUUACAUGUCAUAUGAAUAAGAUCGUUUUGUACCUGUUUAAAUAGUCGAUGGAUUUUAAAUGAAUCAUGCUUGCAAUUUAUUUUGCGUUUCGUAUUAUUGGCCUGGAAACGGGUUGAUGAUAGCAGAAAUGGCAUGCAUUCGAUUAACAAUGCGAUAGAUUUGGGAUACUUUCAGGACCCGUCUUGA
rnacentral:rRNA from 1 species